UGUUAUUCAAUUGCUGGCGAGCGAGACGAGCUGGAGGUUGAGGCUGGCCGCGAUACAGACGAUGCCCGGCGCGGGGGCUGCGAUCUCCGGCGAGAUCCGGUCGAGGAGGCGAGGCCGAGGCGAUCCGGUCGAGGAGGCGAGGCCGAGGCGAUCCGGUCGAGGAGGCGAGGCCGAGGCGAUCUAGGAGGCGCGGGAGCAGGUCCAGCGGCGGAGCUUCAACUCCAAGUACAUGGCAGCGGCGUUCCUCGCCGGUUCCGAGCGAGAUGGGGCUGCGAUGCAGACGAUGUUGGGCGCGGCGGCGGCAAUCUCUGGCCAGAUCCGGUCGAGGAGGCGAGGUAGGGGCCGGAUUAUGUUUUGGGGACGACAUGGAGGCGAUCUACAAGGCGCGGGAGGAGGUCCAGCGGCAGGGCUUCAACUCCAGCGGGCCCCCUUUCGAUGGACGGGGCCGCCCACAUCGCCGGUGACUCCCCGGAGGCCAACAGGGCCUCCUCCUCCGCGUCCUCGACCGACUCGGCCUCCCGGCGCUCCCGACCGCGGAAGGGGAUUCACCUGCGGCGGCGCCGGCGACUGUUGUUCGCUCGGAGAGGAGAGGGCGGCGAAGGUGACGGUAAGGACGCCGAUGACGACGUGCAGGACCUCGCACUGUCGCCGGGGAUGUCCUUCGCGGUGGUUCUCGCCCAGCCAGAGGCUCAACAUCAGGGGCCGCGUAUACCCAGCGAUGCUCCCCGUCGACGGCAACAAAGUCCCCGGAAAGGUUUGGAAGGGGAUCACUGAUGGGGAGUUCAAUGUGCUGGACACAUUUGAAGAUGAACAGUAUGUGAGGGAAGUUGUUGGCAUCUCACUGACUGAUUCGGCGGAUACAAUGAUGGCCUAUGCAUACAUAUGGGGGAAUGUAGAUGAUCCUGACCUCUAUAGUGAAUGGGAUUUUGACGUCGACGGCCCUGCCGACGCAAGGGAUCUCGGGUCGCCGUCGCCAUUUGGGAGCUCCCUCUCCUUCAUGCCUUCUUACCGUGGUGCCAGGGAUCAACGGCCGGACGCCAGCAUGACGGAGCUAUUGUGCUGCUGCCUCAGGUCGUCCAGGCUCGUCCUCGGUCCCAGCCACCCAUCAUCAAGAUCCGACGUCCUCUGUCCUUUUUUCCGAUUGAUGGUCUUCCAUGACCAGGGCCCCCAAGCUAAGGAGUAACAUGCUGCAGCUUCUGCCCACCACCAUGCAUGAGACAUGGAAAUCUAGAAAGUUGUAGAGAGGCUGAAUCUACAUCAGAACAACGGCAAGUUAACAAACGAGGAGGUUGGAGUUGUACUGUGACUACUGUUAGAUCUGGUUUUGCACUUCCGAAUUUUAUUUGAGAAUGAAUCUCGAAGGUAUAUUUUCUGCAAAGUGCUAGUGCCCUCCUACAGAUGACAAGAUUUUCUUCUUUUAAUUGUAAUGAGGCAUGAGCCACAAACUCUUCAUAGAACUUUGAAGCAAAAUAUUGAUCCCCUGCAUGCAUAUAUGAUUGCAAACCAAUUUUUUUUAAAUCCGUUCCUUUUUACAAUAAUAUUUUCCUGGGUGAUGUAACAUAAGUAUAUUAUUGGUACAAUUAAGUGAUAUGAUUAGUACUUGAUUUAUCUGGGCAUAAAAAUGUCUGAGAUAAUAGCUCUAGCACUCAUGCCCACAAUUUGAAAAUGGUAGGACUAUCCUUGACCCAUAUAGAAGUGAUAACCCCCCCCCCCCCCACACACACACACAUAUAGCGUUUUCCCCGUUGCAACGCACGGGCAUUUUUGCUAGUAUAUAUCUAAUAUUAUAGACAGUUUUUGGUCAGUUGCAUUUUACAUGCUUUUCUCCUUCAUAAGCUCCGCCACACCUGAAAAUUAUUUCUGCAUUCGACACUGACAGCAAAGGCACACUGUUUUGCAAAAAAAGUGAAACAGAAAAAUAAGCCGAUGUCGUGCCUUUUUAUCAAUUGGAUGCAUUUUUUUUCUCUCAUGUGGUUCUCUCUUAAGUAGUGUUGAUUCACUAUGGCUCCAUAUACUUGCGGUUGGGCUAUGCGAUCCGAGAUGAACGAGAAAUGCACGCUCUUCAUCCUGGUUUGGCCCCAUGGCAGGAUGGCAAUGCUUUUGAUCAGCAUCGUUGUGCCUCCUAGUGUCGUCGCCUGUUUUGCUGCCAUGGCAGCACUUUCUUUGAAUUAGGGUGCUAACAUCCCCUCCUUGAGAUACGGCUUGAUCCCAAGCCAAUAGAGCAGGGCGCGCUCCUUCGGGUGAAUUGUGUCUUCCUAGGUGGCGUCGAAGACGGUGGGAUCGGACCAAUGAACGAAGAUCCGCUCCCUCCGUUCAGUUGGAAUCAUUCUCUGGCGCUGGUGAUGACUUCAACGGGAGAGAGCACGACUUCUUAUGGUUUUGGCAGCUCCGUCGUUGCAGUGGUACCUGGGGUAAGAGCCUAUCGGAGUAGUGGACUUGGAAGAUAGGUGGACCUUUGAUACAUCUCGAACGCAUCUACUUUUCCUAACGCCUUUCCUCUUGUUUUGGACUCUAAUUUGCAUGAUUUGAAUGAAACUAACCCCGACCUAACGCUGUUUUCAGCAGAACUACCAUGGUGUUGUUUUUGUGCAGAAAUGAAAGUUCUCGGAAUGGAAUGGAACUUUGCGAGGAUUUUUUAUAUCAAAUAAGAAAAUUUCUGGAGUCAGGAGGUAGCUGAGGGGGGCACCUGGGUGGGCACAACCCACCAGGGUGCGCCAGCCCCCCCCCCCCCCAAGCGCACCCUGGUGGGUGCU